GCCAUGGAUGUCUGAUGUCUGAAACCCGGU
rnacentral:piRNA from 1 species